GGGGGAUUUAUAGAGUAUCAGUCAUGUUUAUUAGGAUGGAUGGGGGGAUUUAUAGAGUAUCAGUCAUGUUUAUUAGGAUGGAGGGAAUUUAUAGAGUAUCAGUCAUGUUUAUUCGGAUGGAUGGGGGGAUUUAUAGAGUAUCAGUCAUAUUUAUUAGGAUGGAGGGGAUUUAUAGAGUAUCAGUCAUGUUUAUUAGGAUGGAGGGGAUUUAUAGAGUAUCAGUCAUGUUUAUUAGGAUGGAUGGGGGGAUUUAUAGAGUAUCAGUCAUGUUUAUUAGGAUGGAGGGGGGGAUUUAUAGAGUAUCAGUCAUGUUUAUUAGGAUGGGGGGGAUUUAUAGAGUAUCAGUCAUGUUUAUUAGGAUGGAGGGGGGGGAUUUAUAGAGUAUCAGUCAUGUUUAUUAGGAUGGAGGGGGAUUUAUAGAGUAUCAGUCA
ensembl:lncRNA